UACGUAGGAGGCGAGCGUUGUCCGGAAUUACUGGGCGUAAAGCGUGCGCAGGCGGUUCGUUGUGUCGGCGGUGAAAGCCCCGGGCUUAACCUGGGAAUGGCCGUUGAAACUGGCGAACUGGAGUGUGGCAGAGGGGGGUGGAAUUCCGCGUGUAGCAGUGAAAUGCGUAGAGAUGCGGAGGAACACCGAUGGCGAAGGCAGCCCCCUGGGCUAACACUGACGCUCAGGCACGAAAGCGUGGGGAGCAAACAGG
rnacentral:rRNA from 1 species